rnacentral:lncRNA from 1 species
CAUUUAUCAAAAAAUAUUAAAUUCAGAUUAUAAUUGUGUGGAAAAUAUUUCUGGGACUGAAUAGAAGGAAUGAAGUAUUAUACAGAUUGCAAAUUGCGUGAUCAUAGAGUGAGAGCAUUACACAAGUGUCCCGGCAUCUAAG